rnacentral:rRNA from 1 species
AGCAGCCGCGGUAAUUCCAGCUCCAAUAGCGUAUAUUAAAGUUGUUGCAGUUAAAAAGCUCGUAGUUGAAUUUCGGGGUUAGUAGGUUGGUCAUGCCUCUGGUAUGUACUGGUCUCACUGAUUCCUCCUUCCUGAUGAACCUUAAUGCCAUUAAUUUGGUGUUUUGGGGAACUUGGACUGUUACUUUGAAAAAAUUAGAGUGUUUAAAGCAAGCUAACGCUUGAAUACAUUAGCAUGGAAUAAUGAAAUAGGACGUUCGAUCCUAUUUUGUUGGUUUCUAGGAUUGACGUAAUGAUUAAUAGGGAUAGUUGGGGGCAUUAGUAUUCAAUUGUCAGAGGUGAAAUUCUUGGAUUUAUUGAAGACUAACUACUGCGAAAGCAUUUGCCAAGGAUGUUUUCAUUAAUCAAGAACGAAGGUUAGGGGAUCGAAGACGAUCAGAUACCGUCGUAGUCUUAACCAUAAACUAUGCCGACUAGGGAUCGGAUGAUGUUAAUUUUUUAAUGACUCAUUCGGCGCCUUACG